rnacentral:rRNA from 1 species
GACGAACGCUGGCGGCGUGCUUAACACAUGCAAGUCGAACGGUGAAGCGCCUUCCUUUUUGGUGGGUGUGGAUGAGUGGCGAACGGGUGAGUAACACGUGAGUAACCUGCCCCCUUCUUCUGGAUAACCGCAUGAAAGUGUGGCUAAUACGGGAUAUUCUGGGUCUGUCGCAUGAUGGGUCUGGGAAAGAUAUUGUUUCGGUGGGGGAUGGGCUCGCGGCCUAUCAGCUUGUUGGUGGGGUGAUGGCCUACCAAGGCGGUGACGGGUAGCCGGCCUGAGAGGGUGGGCGGUCCCACUGGGGCUGGGACACGGCCCAGACUCCGACGGGAGGCAGCAGUGGGGAAUAUUGCACAAUGGGCGCAAGCCUGAUGCAGCGCCGCCGCGUGGGGGAUGGAGGCCUUCGGGUUGUGAACCUCUUUCGCCAGUGAAGCAGGCCUGCCUCGUUUGUGGGUGGGUUGACGGUAGCUGGAGAAGAAGCGCCGGCUAACUACGUG